AAUCAUUCUAACCUUUUAGUUUUUAGCUACUCAUUCUUACCAAGUUUAGUUUUGUAAAAUAUGGCGACUGGAUACGAGAUUGUUCAGACCCUGAAUAAGAAGAGGUUCCCAAACAAGUUCGAGAAUUUAGGGUACAACAGGACGUUUCUGAAUGGCGUAAUUGUGCCAAGUGUAUGCAAAUGCCUACAGAGCCUGAGAAUGGAUGCUGCAGGGAGAUGCCACAGGUAACAAGAAGACUACUGCAGCUUCCAAACCAACCAACGUGCAUCAUCCGGGACUUUUAGCUGUGUGAUGUGAAUGUGUUCUCACUACAGAAUGCAUUCAACAUCUAUAGAGCAGACUAUGGGCCUUAUGUCUAAGGGGAAUAUAGCAACGUUACAGGUAUUUGGUGUACAGAAGCUUUGUUAGCAGGUCUUGGGGCUUUCUGGGACGGAGAAUCUGGGUGGUCCUGCUCUUCUGCUCCAGAUGGUGCUUUGGAGGAUCUGUCUGACAGGCCACAUGAUGUAGCCUAGGACACUGUUCAGAUGUUCUUCCUUAAC
ensembl:lncRNA